rnacentral:tRNA from 1 species
GGAGAGGUGCCGGAGCGGCCAAACGGCGCCGACUCGAAAUCGGUUGGGGCUUGACGGCCCACGCGGGUUCGAAUCCCGCCCUCUCCG